rnacentral:rRNA from 1 species
CAUUGUCUCAUGAAUAAAAUAUGAGAUAGUACCUGCCCAGUGACACACUGUUCAACGGCCGCGGUAUCCUAACCGUGCAAAGGUAGCAUAAUCACUUGCCUAUUAAUUGUAGGCUAGAAUGAAGGGGUUAACGAAAUAAAAACUGUCUCAAUUAAUUAACUAAAAAUUAUUCUCUACCUGAAGAAGGUGGAUAAACUCGAAGGACAAGAAGACCCUAUAGAGCUUAAUUUUACUUAUAGAGCCACCCUAUAAAAAUAUUCGGUUGGGGCGACCCAGGGCUAAAUAAUCACCCACUAAAUAAAAGACAUAUAAAUCAAAUAAGUGACCCUUUAAAGAUCAUAAGAACAAGCUACCUUAGGGAUAACAGGCUAAUCCCACUUAAGAGUCCUUAUCAACAGUGGGGUUUGGCACCUCGAUGUUGGCUUAGGGUAUCUAUAUAGCGCAAAAGUUAUAUAAAGAUGGUUUGUUCAACCAAUAAUAUCCUACGU